rnacentral:pre_miRNA from 1 species
UAUAUACUCCCUCCAUUCGGAAUUACUCGUCCAAGAAAUGAAUGUAUCUAGAUGUAUUUUAGUUGUAGAUACAUCCAUUUUUGUGACAAGUAAUUUCGAACGGAGGGAGUACAUC